rnacentral:snRNA from 1 species
AGCACAUAUACUCUUAAAAAAAAAAAUAGAACGACACAGUGAAGAUUAGCAUGGCCCCUGUGCAAGGAUGACAUGCAAAUUUGUGACUAGUUCCAUAUUUAA